AAUGCCCCUUCCGGCCGGGCCUUAAAUGCCGGAACGCUCCAGCGCAGAGCAGCUGCGAAUUUACAAAUAAAAGCGAUUUGCCAGAGCGUGAAAGGAUC
ncrna:unclassified sequences GP20-a RNA